GCCCCCGCCUGUGCUGUACACCGCGGCUCAGCCCUUUAUGCAAGGCUGGGAAAGCCAGCCCCGGCACAUCCCUGGUUUCCCGCAACACCCAUUCUCCACACUAUGCUGGGAAUACACUGAUGGUCCUGGAUGCAAGGAGCCACCCCAUGACCCACUCCUGGUCAAAAGGGAAAGGGGGGAGGUCAAGUCCAACAAAAGGCCAAAAUCUAUUUCAUGGUGAAACCUCCGUUGUUUCCCAGGAUGCACCCUGCUUUUCUACCCUCUUCUGUGACCCAAAAGAUCUGGACCACCUUAGGCUCCAGGCUCCCAUCAGCAUCACAGCCCAUCAGUGUCAGGGGCAACAACUGAAAGCAAUUGAGAAGAAAGCAAAAUCUUCAUCAGGGUUCCUGGGAAAACAGCUGCAGAGAUUCCAGGUUCAUCCACCGCAAAGCUUCUCCCUACUCAUCUCUCCAUCUCUCCCCUCCCUUCCCCAAUCUCCCCUAGUCCCCAUCCCCCCAAAUAGCCUUCAGUCUCUUCUUUCUCUCUCAAAAAACCUCUCCCCCUGCCUUGCCAGAUCUGCUUCCACCCAAAGAAUCCUUCCUUUAAAAUCUCCCUACUGUGGGCUGCCUCUGCAGGCCAUUCUUAAUCCCCAUGUCAAAAGGCUGGAGAGCCUGGACGUCAGGACCGAAUUUUCCAGCUCUCCACCCUGUGACUCCCAGCUUCUCUGAUCCUGUCUGUAUUUACUGCUGUCACCCCUUAACCUGUCAGGUGUAAGCCCAUUUCCUAGUGAUGCCAAAAGACCCGAACACCUUAAUUCUGGAAACUCACCAAGGGUCAAGCGUUUACUCAGGCAUUAAAGCUGUCUGUGCUAGAGCAAUUUAGAUUUGUAUUUGCAAGGAAAACAUAACUAGUCCAGCAGACAUCCAUGUAUAGCUUUUCUCCAUUAACUCAAGCAAGCAAAAAGAAGCACCAUCAGCCAUAUAGAACAAGUCCCAGGGGCCUUUCUCCCGCUGGCAAAGAAGAGAAAGAGGAGAAACACUGUAGCAGCCCACGCCCCAUCCCCAGGCUCAGGCCCAAUCUCACUCUAAGAGUUUGGGGAGCCCCAGUCUCAGUGAGGAGGGGGCACACUUUAGGAUUGAAAGUUUCCAUGUCCCGGAUCAUCCAAGUCUAGCGUUCCUGUGAGUUUUGACUUGAGGUGAGGUCAGUACAGGCCGCAGGCGGGAAAUGUGCUCAAAUGCUGACUGCCUGGAAGGUCUUUUCCAUUUCGGAGUGUCGGCUGUGGGUCAGACCGUCUCAGGGAAUAAACUGUAAGUGGAGGUGAGUCUUUCCAUAUGUCUCGCAUGAAAAUUGAAAAUGACCCUUUAAUGUAGUCCAGAAUCCCCACGGAACAUUUUUAUUGUUUCAAAAGAGAAAAGGAAAAACGUAAACUAGGUCGAACGUCACGGGGUUUCUAAUCCAAAUGAACAAAGCAGGAGAACUCACCCCCAAAAUUAAGUCAAGAACCCAUCUCAGUGGGAAACAGGUGGGGCUGUGCGUCCAAGUGGACCUUUAAUAAGCACAAGCUGAUGAGGGUGGUGGUAGUAACAGGGAUUUUGAAACUGUUGAAUUGGAGGAGAGAGGCUGCCAAACUCCUGAGAGAUCCUUUAAAAUAAUUCUCAGUAUUUACUAUGGGAUUUGACACAUACAGUGCAAAACAGUUGGGGAAGAUAAUGAACAAGCCAUUCCCUCCCAGGACUGGCUCUACACACUCCACAGUGGAGUAGCUAACAGUGUUCCCUCGUGCCCUGUCCCUCAAUACAGCCCCUCCCACAGAUAAAUGAAAUUCCACUGUUAGAGAUUCUUUCCUUUGGAUUAAACAUUAUUAGUCAAUCAUGGGUAGAGAACAGAUUUCUUCCAGAUCUCCAGAAGACUAACAGUUCCAUUUUAUUUCCAUCCUAUUGUGGUGCUUCUGCAGGAGAGUAUGGAGGUAUAUUUAGUUUCAGAAUGCCUCAGAAUUCUAAAGUCAAAAGGAACCUUGGAAGCGAAGGAGGCCAAGUGUCUUCACCUGGGAGGGAGCUGAGGGCCAGAGAGGACAGAUGUGUGAGGCGGGCUUUGGCCCCUACCCCGUGGUCAGUCUCCCCUGAACCUUGGCAGAGGCGGUUUUCCAAAGCCUACACAUGGUUGCUUCUCUAGUCCACAGUCUUUCUAGGUUGACACGACAGUCCAGCCAAACACAAGGGCUUUGCGUUCCAGACAAGAAGUCGGUCCCACAGAGCUCCGCGAUCAAGGCAAGAAGCCAGCUCCCACUUCCUCCAUCUGGGAGCUGAAAAUGCUGCUUAUGUUCCUUGCAGAAAUCAAAGUGUGAACCCCCAUUCCCUACCACAACCCGUGGGAUGUAUAUGAACAGCCCCAGUGGGCAGCCAUAGCAACCAUUAGCUUAAAACCUGUUGAAACAGAGAAGUUGAAUUGGGAAGGAAAAGCAAAUCCCGUCCAGGCAUCCUGUUCUUGGGUGAAGAGAAGCAAAAGAGUUGAAGAAAACCUGAAGGUAAACCUCAGGGCAUCAUCCCACCUGGAUAGAGAGAUGAACCGGGCGCGGUGCUGUCAAGUCUUCUCCCUGGACCGCUGCUUCUGCCCACAUAACCAGCCUUCUUGGCAGAUUCCAGGGCUCUCCCUGCCAAAAGCCCUGAAGAAAUGAAGUCAGAAAACGAUCGUCAAACUCUGUGAUUCAGAGGUCACCCGCACAUCAUACCAAAACCAGCUAAAGCCACCCCAGAUCCAUAUCCAUGUCUCCCUUCUUCAGACCCAAAGGAGCCUGCAGCUUUCUUCAUUCACUUCUUAUCCUUAACAAGCCACCUGCAUAGGAAGUGCACGUGUAACCUGCAGGAUGGACCAAAGCACAAAGGGCCAUGCUGUAGAGGUUGCCUUUCAACACUUCAGCCAGAGCUGCCACAGAAAGUAGCAGUCACGGGGUUGUUAUAAUCUCUGUAUUAGUUUCUUAUUGCUGCUGUAACAAAUCACUCCAAACGUAGUUGCUUCAAACAACCCAAAUUUAUUAUCUCAAGUCACAAUUUCAGGUAGGCUCAAUUGGUUCUUCUGCUCCAAGUCUCCUGAGGCCAAAGUCAAGGUGUUGGCCAACUUGGGUUCUCAACUGGAGACCCAGGACGAAUCCACUCAGGCUCACUCAGUUGUUGGCAGAGUUCAGUCCCUUGCACCUAUCAGGCUGAGGUCCCCACCUCCCUACUGGCCAUCAGCUGGGGGCUGCUCUGCGCUCUUUAGGGCCAUCGGCACUUCCUGGCAUACUCCCCAGUGGACUGAAUCGGGCUCAAGUGUCCCUCGUGGGAGACACCAGGGGAUGAGCCACCACAAGCCGAGCAAGGCCCAUUUCCUGCCUUCAGGCAGCUCAGAUGGAGAGGGGAGCAGGUAAAGGCCACAGCUGGAGGAGGCACCCACAAAGGCAGAUGAAAAGAACAUGCAAUUCCCCUCUUUCAACAAAUCGAUUUAAUUUAAAGCACAAGCCCCCAUUCCCUUUCUUCCUAGCUGUCCUACUGUGUUUUUGUAGGGAAAGGAAGGAGAAGGCUUAUGAGACACAGACUCUGGGAAGAGGCAUCAUCUGCCUGUGCCGAGUCCCCUGGGAGAGUUCCACACCCAUGUCAGGCCCUGAGGCUUCCUGCUGCAUCAUUCUCACUCCUUCCCAAGGGCCUCUUUUGAGUUUGUAUUGGUUUUGAGUUCCUCCAAAAUCAGGUCGAUCGUUUAUUUGGAGGUGAUACCCACAGUAGUAGGGGAUACAGCAGUGAGACAGGGAAGGGAAAGAAGCUGCCACAGAGCGUGUUAUCACAGUACCCGGUGGGCAAGUGGCAUUCAGUCUUGCCAGGAACUCUGAGAAAGUGGAGAAUGAGUACAUGUGAGGGGCGAGAGAGCUGGGGUAUUGAUCCAUCGGCUCUAUCAGUGCUGACAUCAGGGCUGCUGUGGUCUCAUUUUCCAAGCACACUGGCCUACCAUUGUGCAUGGGCAGAGCAACCAGGGGAAUCCCUCUGGCAAGGAGACGCAGGGGCUGGCAGCUGGUAGACCAGCAGGCAAGGAGAAGGUGCAGUCCAAGAGCUACAGGGGCCAGGGAACACUGACCACUUCUGCUGCAACGCCUGUGUCUGUGUAUCCCGCAUCUGUCCGUGCCAGGCCAGGAGACUGGAAGCUCACUCUAUAAGACUAAGGCCCUUUCUGCCCAGACCCGUCCUGUAGCUGGUUUGCCACUAGACUCUCCCCUCAAGCUCAGAGGCCCUCUGCUCUCAGAUCCAACAAAGCUGCCUGGUUUCCCACCUACCACGGGGCAAGGGCACCACCCCUUCUCAAGGCUCCAUCAGUGUCUACACUCCCCAUCUUCUUCACCUCUCCCUCUGCCCUCCCCACAGCUGGUCUGAGGACCUGCCGUCUCACCUCAGGGAUGGGAAGAGGUCCUCUUCCACCAACACGCGGUGACCUGAAGCUAUCGAUUUUUUGCCAGGGACCUCCCCAUUCCCCACAGGGCUCGGGAAGUCACCCUGUUCACUCAUCACCCUGGUCAACAGCCGUCCUUCUCUUGCAAGGGUAAGCCUGGGAAGAGGGUACUACAACGAAAACCCUUUAAAGGAUUAUCUUAUCUUACAGACACACACUCCAGCAGCCAGAAUCCAAAGCAAAUAAAACAUGUGCCAUCCUGAAGUCCUUUCACAGGAGAGAGGAAUCCCACUGAGGCAAGCAAGGAAAGCAGUGUAAAAGAGGUGGGAACAUGUGCUGUGGGCCUGGAGAGACGAGUGGGCGUCCAGCCAGUGGAGGGGAGGUAUAAAUCAAGGCAGCUGCCUGGGAAGCCCAAACAGGGCAGGAGAGGAGGAGAUGGUCUGUGCACCCGAGAGUGUCAAGCCAAGGUGGGCCUUCCCUGAAUGACAGCAGGGCGGCAGCCAUGGAAUAUUUGCGAGAAAAGCAGUGACCUGAUGAGAUGUAGUGAAGUCAGUAGGAAAACAGCAUAGUGAAUGUGAAAUGGCCUUAGAUUUAAGAUUUGACUCUGGCUUCAAGAAUCUGUGUGUGGAAAGAGAGAAGGUGCAGGGAAGGCAGGAGAGAGGAGAGGGGAAGAAGGCAGAGAGAGAUGGAGAGAGGAGAAAGAAAGCCAGGGAGAGGUGUCCUGAAGACAGAAAAGAGAAGAGAAAGAAAUGUGAGUGAUCAACCAAGCCAGGGAGGGUUUUGAAGUCGGACCAUUCAUCAAGUUUGGGCCUUUCGGUGGGAAAGGGGAGGUGAGGCUUGCCCAGCUAACCAAGGCCCUGUCUGCAGGUGUGAAACCCUCCCUGAGCUCCCCUCUGGCCAGGACGCCAGGUGAGCCCUGGGGAGCCCAGGCCACUUGGGUGAGUGGCUCUUAUGGAAAGAAGGCAAGAGAUUGUAAAGAGCAGGACCAUAUCUGCUGUUCGAAAUGCAUUUCAUUGCCCAGGUGGGACUGACAGCCCUGGGGAUGCCCUGGAGCAGAGAAAUUGUCAGAGGGGAAGGUGCUAGAAGGUGAUAAUUGCUGGGCACAUGGAAUCUGAAUCCACCCCAGCGCCAGCUUCUGGGCUUCAACCAACACAGUCAGCUUCGGAAAGAAUUAGGUCUGAGUUCGCUGGUUGUUCACACUCAGAAACGGAAGCGGAAAAACUUUCAUACAUCUGGUUCUCCCGGCACAAAACCCCCACCCUGUGCGCCGGGAGGCCGUUUAGUAAUGUUAUGGCUCCAUCUACAGCCUGCGGAAGGAUGCUCGCCGCCAGGCUUCCACAAACAGCCGGCCGGCACUGCAAUUAAUGCUAAUUAAAGCCCUUGCCCCCGUCUGCGCCUUUAUCCAACGCAGACUUGGAACUUCGCUGGAAGUUGUUUCAGGCUGAGUCUACAACAGCAGCUGUUCAGAUUAUUCCAGAACCCUUUCAGCCAAAAUUGGUUGGGAGUUUCUAUUUUAAACCCCCGAUUGUUAUGAAUUGCGUUAAAUGUCUUUUUUUCCCCACUCCCUCCACCAGGUUUUAACAAUGGAACAAAGAUGAAAACCCUCAAAAUAGCAAGAUGGCCUUUUCUUUCAUUCAUUCAAGGGAACACUCAGCACCUUCUUUGAGUCAGGUUCCAUGGUAAAGCACAGAGGUCAAAAAGAGGAAAGGAGAAAGUCCCAGGUCGCCAGUGGUUGUAGAGCUUGGAACAACCUCCAUAUACAGAGAACAUAAAGUCCUUUGACUCAGGACAAAAUGGAAGCUGAAAGUUCCUUAAAGAAAACAUGGAAAACAAGAAAAAAAAAGGAAUACGAAAUCGAAAGCAUUCAUCAUUCUGUCAGCUGAAGACGACCAGUGUUAACUUUAACGUGGCCCUGCACUGCUGCUGCUGCUGCUGCUAAGUCACUUCAGUCGUGUCUGACUCUGUGCAGCCCCAUAGAUGGCAGCCCACCAGGCUCCCCCGUCCCUGGGAUUCUCCAGGCAAGAACAUUGGAGUGGCUUGCCAUUUCCUUCUCCAAUGCAUGAAAGUGAAAAGUGGAAGUGAAGUCGCUCAGUCGUGUCCGACCCUCAGCGCCCCCAUGGACUGCAGCCCACCAGGCUCCUUGUCCACAGGGGGCCCUGCACUACUUUUGUCUUUAUGUAGCUUGUGCUCUGGCUUCACUAACCCAAAGCCCCAUGUCCCAGCGUGCUCUUCUGUGUGACACGUAUUUAUUUUGACUGCCCUGGGUCUUUGUGUGCCUGGGCUUUCCCUAGUCGCUGUGAGUAGGGUCUGCUCUCUAGCUGCGGUGCUUGGGCUUCUCCCUGCAGCGGCUUCAGCUGUUGCAGAGCAUGGGUUCGGUACUUGUGGCACACGGGCUUAGUUGCCUGGAGCAUGUGGGAUCUUCCCAGACCAGGGAUCGAACCCCUGUCCCGUGCAUUGGCAGGCGGAUCCUUAACCACUGGACGAACGGGGAAGUCCUCUUCUACAUGAUUUUGAAUGGCUUCAGGGUAUUCUUUCAUAGGAAUGAGCCACAAAAAUUCACUCGGUACAAGAUUCCUAGGUUUUCAGAACCGUAAGCUUUAUACACAUAUUCCUUAUGAUGAACCCAUAGCUGUAGAACUUCUGGAUCAAAGAGGGCCUAUGAGACCCAUCCAGCAUCCAUCUCCCAGAAUUUCACAUCACGUCUGAACCAAAAUCCUACUUUAGGGGCCCUGAGUGUUCAUCAUUGCAGAAAGAACUGGCUGCGACGCCGAGUGGUGCUCCUCAGAGUUAAGGGGUGCUUGGCCGAGCAUCACAACCAGAGGGAGCAGAGUGGCUCAGGACUGUUUUUGAUCAGUUCCUUACCUCCUGAGUGAUUUAGACUCGGAUGUCUCUGGAAGACAUGCCACAGGCCAUGUUUCAGGUCUGGUGCAUAUGUAGUCAAUAGAACAUCACCACAGGCUCAGAUUAGGAAGAAAGAAUAAUUUACUCAUCUUCAUUGCCCAAAUGCCACCACUUGCCAUGAUCAUUAUCAUCCCAACUUUGCUUUUCCUUCUUCCAUAUCCUGUCCUGUUUGUUCCCAUGGAUGCUUUGCCUUCUCCUGCACAUCUCAUUCAGUUGAGUUGGGUUCCUCUGGAUUCCUCAGAACAGAGUAAGAGGCAACUACAUUCAUCAGGUCUUUAGAAAAAUCCUGGCACCCAUCGGGAUCACAUGAGGUGUAAUCUGCAGGGUCAGUAGCUUCGGGAGGACUUGUAGACCAUCUUCUUUACAAGUGAAACAUAUUCCUUAUUAUCCCUUGAGUCGUUGGGUUCAUAGAGGGCGGAGCCAAAUCAAGCAAUGGUGAAAAGAUCUGUCGAGAUAAAGGUGCACAGCGGCAGUCAUUUAGGAGUUAAUUUUCUAAUGAGAAGGGGCAGACAUAACCUGCUUCAGGUGAAAAGGAGAAAUUAAAUUGUGUUUUUUUGAUCUUAGAGGCUGCCUAAUUGACACUCUCAUCAGUCACCAAUAAAAGGGAAGGCGUGGCAGAAGACUCGAGGAUGUCAGAAAGAAGCACAACCUGAGUAGAGGUGAGGCAGAGACCAGGGUUGCCCAAGGUCAUGGCAAGAGACGAGGUGGAGGGAGCCCUCCCUUUCUGACUGCUGGCUCAGUGGUCAGUCCACGCUGACCAAAAGAGGCUGCUUGUACUAUGCAAGUAAAAUAUGAACGCCCAGGUUGUUGGGGAGCAAGAAGACACUCCGAAUACGAGGUGGAAAGGGGGAGCCGGGAGCAGGAGAAACCGGACUUCCCUUUUAUGUGUUGCUUCAUGCCUCUGCUGGUGAACAGCAGGAGGAGAGAGAAAUGGCUGACUCCAAACCCACAGUUCCUGCCCUGGAGUGAAAUAAAAUACUCCGAGGCUGGUGUUUCAAUUGGUGCAAGAUUCUGAAGAGAGCCGAACACUCCCUCUUCCUUUUUGGGACAUGAAUUCCCCAGCUGAAAAAAUGCAUCACUUGGCCUUACCUGCCCUACUCCAUCACCACCUCCUUCUCAGGGAUGUCGUGACAAAGAGGUGACGGUAUCCCAUGGCUUGGAUGCUGCCUCCGCCAGAUGACACCUGACACGGGGGCAAGGUUCUUCUCAACACAGAUAGACACGUACUCACCCCGCAGCUGGAAAUUUUCCCAACAGCGCCCAUUUGGAAAUUCCAUUGUCAGUUAUAAAACAGACCUCCCCCGAGGUUGAGAGGAGGAGGGAAAGGCAGAGAUGAGUCUGAAAAUCCAAAGGACUGUAUGGUCUAAGAAUGAAAUGUUUUCUAAAUCAAAUUAAGCUACACGGUGAAAAUUGAGGAGAAAGUCCUUAAGGUGACUUUUAAAUGAAAAUGAAAUGUCUGCUAGUAAGCUACAGAGGUGUAUUGGUACCGAGUGGCAGCCUUGUAUCUCAUUAAUUUCAAACAUAGAUUUUUAUGUGAGGCUAUUUGAUUAUAAUUUGAUUAUCUGACCCUGUAAUUAAAGUUUAUUGCCAAUUUGGAAGCUUACAUGUAAAAUGAACUGGUUUUCUUCAAAGCAAUAUACAAUCCUUCGGACUCAUUGACUUCUGGUUUUGCAUUUAAAUGGAAAAGUCAGUUAUAACGUGACAAACAGGUUGGGGUUUUGAUCAUUAAUCCUGCUAAAGCAAUAUUCAUAAAUUCAAUUCUGAAUCAGUUGGAAUACUUUUCUUUUAUUAGUUUCUGUGUUAUUAAAUGAGAUUGUUUCUGACUAAUAUAUUUCUGGACUCAAACUGUAGCUCCAAGCUGUUAUUCAAAUCAAAUAACAUGCCCCUUACUUGUGCCUCGCACUAAUAAAUGCCAACUUGUGAUACAUUUGCAAGAGACUGUCAGCAAUAUUAAAGGAGGCAAUAACGCCAUGGAGGUCUCCAAGUGAGCUGAUUUUUCUAAGGGCUGAUAUCCGUCAUUUUUCUUUAAAAAAAAAAAAAAAAAAAAAACCCAGAUACUCAGAUCUUUUAGUCUUAAAGCCAAAAGCCUGAUUUGAGUCAUAGAAAUAUUGUAUAAUUCUCUAACACCUGAAUAGCCAAGACAUUGGAAUUAGAAAUUUCAUAACUUUGAGGUCCUACAUAAGAGGUAGGAAGCUGAUUUCAGACAGAGCAGAAUCAAAGUUACAUUUUGGGGAAAAAGUGCCACUUAGAAACAGAUGGGUUUUUUUUUUUUUUUUUAAUAAUACUUAGGUGAGGAGAGGCUACACUGCCUCUUUUUUAAAUUGAGAUAUUGCUAUUUUUAUUUUUUUGGCAGAGCUACAAAACAUAUGAAAUCUUCAUUCCCCCACCAGGGGUUGAUCCCAUGCCCCCUGCAGUGGACGUGCAGAGUCCCAACCACUGGACCUCCAGGGAAGUCCCUACAUUGCUUUAGAAAUUAGAAAAACUAUUCACAAAUCUUCACUGUGUUCUUGGAGCAAAAAGAGGUCUUGGAGGCUGCUUUUUCUGGCCCCAUAUUACAGAUGAGGAAACGGAGGCCCAAAGAGAAGCCACCUCAGUUACACAGCGAGUUGCUGGCAAAUUCUAAAUGCAAACACUCCCUGUAACUUUUCUCAACAUUUUCCCCACCAUCCGGCCAUCGAAAGGCUCAUAAAUAUUUGUGGAAACUUCACAGGGGCUGGAAUCGGCGGCCCAGCCACCAGCUGGCUGUUUGACCUCCAACCCAUCACCAGGAGUCUCAGCCUUCAGAUAUAGCUCCUUUCACCCUGUUUCUGAAAAGAGAUGAGACCAGAUAGAUAAACUCCAAAGGUCAGGGGACUUACAAUAGCUCACCUCUUACAGUUCAAAUGCUUUGAGAUGUGCAUACAAUGAACAGUGCAUAUUUAAAGCAUACUGUAAUAGCUUUCCUAAAUAAUCAUAAGAGCAUUGAACUUCACAUUGUUUGGGGUGAUUUUCCCUCAUUCAUCUUUUUGAACCUCCAGAGUGAGCAGGCUCUUCUCUUCCUCUCUCAUGAGGUCCCACACAUUGGCUUUGUGACUGUAGUUUGCACGUUUUCCAGCCAGUGUUCCCCUGGUGGAUUCAGGGUGGGUGUUGCUAGGUUUCCACCUUAUCACACAGUCAUGGGG
ensembl:lncRNA